AUGCUUCUGCUUAAAGUACUAGUGUGGGGGUCUCUGGGGGACCACUGCUUAGCCCCAGACGACUCCAUGGCGUUCUUAGUCUCCUGAGCAAAGCCAGUCGUCUGCACCAGUAUUCGUCUCUCCUCUUCCUUCAGUCCUUCAGAUGCAUGAAACGAGGGCUGGCAAGAACUACCAUCUCAUGGUGUAAAUAUUAAUGCCUACAGCUGCGAUAAAGCACUCUUACCGCUGGUCUUGGCAGAGGCUUCCAGCUAGUUAAUAUCAGACUAGUAUAAGGACGACCUCAUAAAGAUCGUUAUCGCCAGAGAUGGAUCCCGUUCAUGUGGACAAGCGGCGAGGGGCGACGCCUCCUCCACCAACUGUCACACUGCAAGG